UUACACUUUCACCUUUUAUCAUGCCAUUACACUUUGUACUGACCAUCCUCCAAACAUGGCAUCACUGUUUUGUUUACACCUUUAUCUCUACAUCUCAGAGGGCACCUGAAACAAGCCCCACCUAUAUAAAAGGCCAUAAUCAGUCACACUGUAUUUUCCCUCACUACAUUACAUCGGUCAUUGAGAGCAUAACACUUCGUUCAUCAGCACGGACAACAACCCUAAGAGCGUUCUUUUUAACAUGGACAGCGUAUAUGGUAGGUAAAACAAGACUAUUAACAGAUUCUUAAAUUUAUACAACUGUAUAUCAAAAAAUAUUCAAACUGUUUUCUCUUCUAAACAAAAGCCUGAUUUUUAGGAACUUGGUACACAGGUACACCCCAAGCGGCACUUACACAAGGAUCACAAAGCUAUAUAGGGCAAACAACACCUCUAAAAAACACAAGGAUCAAUAAGUUGUCCAGAAAAACCUACAGAAGCGGAGGAAAUAAGACCAAGCCUUACGUUAGGCCCGAGACAGAGUACACAGCGUGUCAAGAAGCGGGACCAUCCGGAAUAACACAGAACAAAGUCGAUCACACAACCCCUUACCACUACGGACCCCUUGAAGAUCCCUUGACGUUUUUGGAAUAUUUACGUGAUAUUGAACUCCCAGAACAACAAGAAAAACCACAUCCUCUGGGCAACAUCGGAGAAUCGGAAGAAUUCUUCAUCACCGGUCCGCACACACCAGUGAGUGAGUGUCUGCCUAGUGAUUUCAACGAUGUUUUCGAGUACAGUCUAUCAGAUUUCAACAUAAAUGACAUACCCACCACACCAGAAUGUCUCAGAAACAACAGCGAUUCAGACAUAGGUUUUGAAGAAGGAGGCAUAACAGACUCACAAAUAUCGCAGGCAUAUGAUGCAUACUUAAAUGCAGCAAAACC